UGGAACGUGGCAGAGACGGCUGAGGUCAUCCCCUCCUCGCCUGGCGUCGCCAGGGCCGGGCUUCCAGAGUUAGCAUUGGAGCUUUCCGCUUCUUCUAGUGAAGCCCCCUGCUCCGCGGCGCCCCGACCUCUUGCUGCUCCCUCCGGCAUCCUCAAGUUGGGGUUGGGUUAGUCCCCCUCCUCUCCCCGAGAGACACUUCUAAAAUUAUUGGGGUUGCGGCAGCGCCUGGAAAUCUCAGGGAAUCCCUGAGCCUGCUCAGCUGGAAAAGGGGGCUUCGUCAUGAACCGGCGCUUCAGGUUUUUAACCCCCGCGCACUGGAGCGCCCAGUGUCUGCUGAAGCCGCCGCCUUGCUGCCAAAAAGAACUGCCUUUAUGUACAGACAUCAUAAAAAAAUGCACAUACACUGGAGAUUUUCCAACGAACAGGAGCUGGAAAGAAACGUUAA